GGAGAUGUGGCUCAGUGGUUGAGAGCACUUGCUGCUUUUGUAGAAGACCUGGGUUCAAUUCCCAGCACCCACA
rnacentral:tRNA from 1 species